UGGCGGCCGCGGGCUUCGU
rnacentral:miRNA from 1 species